UGUAAUUGACUGUGCUGACAACAGAAGACAAGGGAAGCUUCCUUACCUGGCAAUGUGACUACUUUUGCCCAGGGGACAGUGUCUCCCAGACUUUACUUGCAGUUUUUCUGCCGGCACAGCGUGGUGCCUGGAACAAGGAACCUGAAUACAAGGGGCUUCAGUGAGGAACACCAACAUCAACUCAGGAUCCAUGGAAGAAAGAAAAGCUAAGAAAGAAAAACUAAAAAGAGGACUGUAGUCGUCCGCUCAGUCUUCUUGAAUAAGAAAAGGUGAUACAAAAGCUGUGGAAGAAGGUGAUGAGGAAGCACAAGUUUACCCAUUGGCUUAUCUGAAGCCGCAGCCAAUUGGAAUCAUUGGAGUAAAAAGUGUCAAUAGUUUGGUGUGUGC